AUACACUGAUUUUGAAUGGAUAUAACUCUUCAAAAGUAAGUAAUUGCUUAAAUACUGAAGAAAAAAAUUAUUCUUUCAAAGCUGGUGACUUGCUAACUUCCCUCUCAUCCUGCUACCAGUCAAUAGACUACGUAAAAGAAAAUAAAAGAAACAACAGGACCGCACUUACUACAUAUACAUUAUACCUCUAGACAUGUACUAAAGAUGCAACCAAAUUGCAGCACAUUUUUCUGCUCUGGUUCAAGCUGCAUGUUUCCUACGUCCUACCUCAGCCAAAGAAACAACUUCAACUCAAUUCUAGGUAGCUGCAUUGCCUAUGUCUGAAACCCAACAUACGAUUGAUAUUCCCAGCUGCAUUGUCUAUGUCUAAAACCCAGCAUACAAUUGCCUUAUGUGCUAGAUUCUCAAGAGAAGUUUUAUUGUCGCUUCUGCAGAAAGUAGAAGCAUUAUUACAUAAAUAAUAAUGCUCUAGUAGUGCAGAACUGGAUUGCAUAAUAAGUUGUGGUACAUUGGGCAACAGAGAAGCUAUGCAUUGGGUAUUAAUUAUCUUCUGAAACUGUAGUACAUACCUCAGGUGAAGCAUGGUCAGACGGAGUUCCGGUGAAGGGUGGAGCACGAGCGGAUAGUGUUCCUGCUAAGUCGGCGGAACGACGAGAUUGGAUGGAUACCGCCUGUGACCCGGUCAUUCAGCAGUAUCUAGGGGCCACUUUAGGGACUUCGUCAUGCACAACUGCGUCUCCAUCGAUCCCUGCCCCAAUGAACACCUUGCCGGAUGCCAGAGUUCCACACCAAUGAACACCUUGCCAGAUGCAUGCCUAUACAGAGGGAGUACACGUGAAAGAACAUUAAUUCCAUGUAGUAAUACUGCUUAUGUGAACUAAUUAUGGUAAACAAAAUUUCAGCUAAAAUAAAGAAAGAUUGAAAACAGUUUAAAUAAGUUUUCGAAUAUUUUAGUUAUUCAUACAAACAUCUUCAUGAAAUAUGGCUGACAACCUCCAUAUCAACAAACAUGCAAUUACAGAUAGUUACAACUAAACUUGUCUGUCGUUGUCUUACUUCAAAGUAGGUGAGUACCUUGUCCAGCAGUGGCCUGAGCUUGGACAAUUCAUAUCAUUGCACAUAUAUUUUUCCUACAUGUAUUAUGACAAUUUGUUCAGAAAAGCAGGUUAACUAAGAAAAGAUGAAUAUAUAAAGAUUUAUAUAUUAGAUCUGACAUCAUAAAUCUCCAAACAAUUUUGUGCUCCCACUCUCUGCCAGCAUUACAGAAGAUGAGAAACUCUAGGCAAUUUCCAUGGAAAUUUACCACAUAUCAUGGAACUGGUAUAUUAUAUCAUACCAUGGUACACAAUAUUUCUUCUUUAUCCUUUUUGUAAUUCAAGCUUCAAAGAAAUAGCCAAUGAAAAGGUACUGAAAAUGUCAAAACAUUGGGCAAGAUUCGUGAGAAUGUCUGCUAGUAUAACAAUAAAAUAGACAGAUAAAUAACCAAGCAAUAAGUAGAUGGUAAGAAACUAAGCAUGGAUGUCAUUUUGAACCAAGCCUGAAGCUCUGUCUUAUGGAUUGAUAACAAUGGUG
rnacentral:lncRNA from 1 species